rnacentral:rRNA from 1 species
CAGUAGCCGCGGUAAUACGGAGGGCGCGAGCGUUACCCGGAUUUACUGGGCGUAAAGGGCGUGUAGGCGGCCUGGGGCGUCCCAUGUGAAAGGCCACGGCUCAACCGUGGAGGAGCGUGGGAUACGCUCAGGCUAGAGGGUGGGAGAGGGUGGUGGAAUUCCCGGAGUAGCGGUGAAAUGCGCAGAUACCGGGAGGAACGCCGAUGGCGAAUGCAGCCACCUGGUCCACUUCUGACGCUGAGUCGCGAAAGCGUGGGGAGCAAACCGGAUUAGAUACCCGCGUAGUCCCUGUCUCUUAUAC